rnacentral:tRNA from 529 species
GUCUCAGUAGCUCAAUUGGAUAGAGCAUCCCCCUCCUAAGGGGAAGGUUGGCAGUUCGAACCUGCCCUGGGACACCA